UUAUAUAAGUUAUCGUUUAUUUGAUAGCACCUUUCUACUCGGAUAACUGUGGUAAUUCUAGAGCUAAUACGUGCUGAAAAUCCCGACUUCGGAAGGGCUGUAUUUAUUAGAUUAAAAACCAAUGCCCCUCGGGGCUUCUUGGUGAUUCAUGAUAACUUCUCGAAUCGCAUGGCCUUGCGCCGGCGAUGGUUCAUUCAAAUUUCUUCCCUAUCAACUUUCGAUGCGAGGGUAUUGUCCUCGCAUGGUUACAACGGGUAACGGAGGGUUAGGGCUCGACCCCGGAGAAGGAGCCUGAGAAACGGCUACUACAUCCAAGGAAGGCAGCAGGCGCGCAAAUUACCCAAUCCCGACACGGGGAGGUAGUGACAAUAAAUACUGAUACAGGGCUCUUUUGGGUCUUGUAAUCGGAAUGAGUACAACUUAAAUCCCUUAACGAGGAACAAUUGGAGGGCAAGUCUGGUGCCAGCAGCCGCGGUAAUUCCAGCUCCAAUAGCGUAUAUUAAAGUUGUUGUGGUUAAAAAGCUCGUAGUUGAACCUUGGGCCUGGCUACAAGGACCGCCUCACCGCGAGAUCUUUCCGUAGCCGGGUCUUUCCCGCUGUGGAACCCCAUGGCCUUCACUGGUUGUGGCGGGGAAACAGGACUUUUACUUUGAAAAAAUUAGAGUGCUCCAGGCAGGCCUAUGCUCGAAUACAUUAGCAUGGAAUAAUAAAAUAGGACGCGUGGUUCUAUUUUGUUGGUUUCUAGGACCGCCGUAAUGAUUAAUAGGGACAGUCGGGGGCAUCAGUAUUCAAUUGUCAGAGGUGAAAUUCUUGGAUCUAUUGAAGACUAACUACUGCGAAAGCAUUUGCCAAGGAUGUUUUCAUUGAUAAGGAACGAAAGUUAGGGGAUCGAAGACGAUCAGAUACCGUCGUAGUCUUAACUAUAAACUAUGCCGACUAGGGAUCGGACGAUGUUAUAUUUUGACUCGUUCGGCACCUUUCGAGAAAUCAAA
rnacentral:rRNA from 1 species